rnacentral:lncRNA from 1 species
AAAUAUUGAAAAUGAUAGUGUGGAUGGGACACAAUCCAGUUUUAAAAGUGUAUGAAACCACUGUCUAUUGUCAGGUAGCCCUGAAUCUGCAUGUUAGUUAAUUUGAAGUUAUUUUGUUAUAUUUAGUACAUGAUUUCUAUGGUUGUUAUCCUAGAUUUUGUUGUUUUUGCAUUGUAAAAUGUAGCCUUAGUUUUUCUAUUGUACAUGUAUAAACUUUUCCAGACCCAUUUCUAAAUUUGUAUGUUUACCCAGG